GAUGAACGCUGGCGGCGUGCCUAAUACAUGCAAGUCGAGCGAACUGAUUAGAAGCUUGCUUCUAUGACGUUAGCGGCGGACGGGUGAGUAACACGUGGGCAACCUGCCUGUAAGACUGGGAUAACUUCGGGAAACCGAAGCUAAUACCGGAUAGGAUCUUCUCCUUCAUGGGAGAUGAUUGAAAGAUGGUUUCGGCUAUCACUUACAGAUGGGCCCGCGGUGCAUUAGCUAGUUGGUGAGGUAACGGCUCACCAAGGCAACGAUGCAUAGCCGACCUGAGAGGGUGAUCGGCCAAACUGGGACUGAGACACGGCCCAGACUCCUACGGGAGGCAGCAGUAGGGAAUCUUCCGCAAUGGACGAAAGUCUGACGGAGCAACGCCGCGUGAGUGAUGAAGGCUUUCGGGUCGUAAAACUCUGUUGUUAGGGAAGAACAAGUACGAGAGUAACUGCUCGUACCUUGACGGUACCUAACCAGAAAGCCACGGCUAACUACGUGCCAGCCGCCGCGGUAAUAC
rnacentral:rRNA from 1 species